GACGAACGCUGGCGGCGUGCCUAAUACAUGCAAGUAGAACGCUGAAGAGAGGAGCUUGCUCUUCUUGGAUGAGUUGCGAACGGGUGAGUAACGCGUAGAUAACCUGCCUGGUAGCGGGGGAUAACUAUGGGAAACGAUAGCUAAUACCGCAUAAAAUGGAUUAUCGCAUGAUAAUCCAUUGAAAGGUGCAAAUGCAUCACUACCAGAUGGACCUGCGUUGUAUUAGCUAGUUGGUGGGGUAACGGCUCACCAAGGCGACGAUACAUAGCCGACCUGAGAGGGUGGUCGGCCACACUGGGACUGAGACACGGCCCAGGAUCCUUAGGGGGGCAGCAGUAGGGGAUCUUCGGCAAUGGAGGGAAGGCUGACCGAGGAACGCCGCGGGGGUGAAGAAAGGUUUCGGAUCGUAAAGCUCUGUUGUAAGGGAAGAACGAGGGUGAGAGUGGAAAGUUCACGCUGUGACGGUAUCUUACCAGAAAGCGACGGCUAACUACGUG
rnacentral:rRNA from 1 species